AGCGACUAAGCGUACACGGUGGAUGCCCUGGCAGUCAGAGGCGAUGAAGGACGUGCUAAUCUGCGAAAAGCGCCGGCGAGGUGAUAUGAACCCUUGACCCGGCGAUGUCCGAAUGGGGAAACCCAGUGCAAUCCGUUGCACUAUCGUUAACUGAAUACAUAGGUUAACGAGGCGAACCGGGGGAACUGAAACAUCUAAGUACCCCGAGGAAAAGAAAUCAACCGAGAUUCCCCCAGUAGCGGCGAGCGAACGGGGAGCAGCCCGGAGUCUGAAUCAGCUUGUGUGUUAGUGGAACGGUCUGGAAAGUCCGACGGUACAGGGUGACAGUCCCGUACACGAAAGCACACWUGCUGUGAACUCGAAGAGUAGGGCGGGACACGUGGUAUCCUGUCUGAAUAUGGGGGGACCAUCCUCYAAGGCUAAAUACUCCUGACUGACCGAUAGUGAACCAGUACCGUGAGGGAAAGGCGAAAAGAACCCCGGCGAGGGGAGUGAAAAAGAACCUGAAACCGUGUACGUACAAGCAGUGGGAGCCUCUUUAUGGGGUGACUGCGUACCUUUUGUAUAAUGGGUCAGCGACUUAUAUUCUGUAGCAAGGUUAACCGUAUAGGGGAGCCG
rnacentral:rRNA from 1 species